rnacentral:tRNA from 2 species
GGCCGUGUGCCCGAGUGGCCCAGGGGCUCGCCUGCAAAGCGGGUUACGCGGGUUCGAAUCCCGCCACGGCCUCCG